CAAGUCGAACGAAGCCUUCGGGCUUACUGGCGCAUGGGUGCGUAACGCGUGGGAACCUGCCUUUCAGUUCGGAAUAACAGUUAGAAAUGACUGCUAAUACCGGAUGAUGUCUUCGGACCAAAGAUUUAUAGCCAAAUGAUGGGCCCGCGUAGGAUUAGCUAGUUGGUGGGGUAAAGGCUUUCCAAGGCGACGAUCCUUAGCUGGUCUGAGAGGAUGAUCACCCACACUGGUACUGAGACACGGCCCAAACUCCUACGGGAGGCAGCAGUGGGGAAUAUUGGACAAUGGGCGAAAGCCUGAUCCACCAAUGCCGCGUGAGUGAUGAAGGCCUUAGGGUUGUAAAGCUCUUUUACCAGGGAUGAUAAUGACAGUACCUGGAGAAUAAGCUCCGGCUAACUCCGUGCCAGCAGCCGCGGUAAUACGGAGGGAGCUAACGUUUUUUGGAAUUACUGGGCGUAAAGCGCAGGUCGGCGGCUACUCAAGUCAGAGGUGAAAGCCCGGGGCUCAACCCCGGAACUGCCUUUGAAACUAGGUAGCUAGAAUCUUGGAGAGGUCAGUGGAAUUCCGAGUGUAGAGGUGAAAUUGGUAGAUAUUCGGAAGAACACCAGUGGCGAAGGCGACUGACUGGACAAGUAUUGACGCUGAUGUGCGAAAGCGUGGGGAGCAAACAGGAUUAGAUACCCUGGUAGUCCACGCCGUAAACGAUGAUAACUAGCUGUCCGGGCACUUGGUGCUUGGGUGGCGCAGCUAACGCAUUAAGUUAUCCGCCUGGGGAGUACGGUCGCAAGAUUACACUCAAAU
rnacentral:rRNA from 1 species